AGCUCCAAUAGCGUAUAUUAAAGUUGCUGCAGUUAAAAAGCUCGUAGUUGGAUUUCUGGCGUUUCAUUUCAGGCCGGCCACGGUUUCGUGUGUUAGUGCUUGAGAUCUUCGCCAUCCUUCCAAUGGCUAUCAUCCUUCUUCAUUGAGGUGUGAGUGGUAUUGGAUCUUUUACUUUGAAAAAAUUAGAGUGUUUCAAGCAGGCUUAUGCUAUGAAUACAUUAGCAUGGAAUAAUAAUUUAGGACUUCGGUUCUAUUUUGUUGGUUUCUAGGACUGAAGUAAUGAUUGAUAGGGAUAGUUGGGGGUGCUAGUAUUCAGCGGCCAGAGGUGAAAUUCUCGGAUUCGCUGAAGACUAACUUAUGCGAAAGCAUUCACCAAGGAUGUCUUCU
rnacentral:rRNA from 1 species